rnacentral:lncRNA from 1 species
AUGGCAAUUGGUUACUUGGAUUCUCUGGCUUUAUUGGCAUCUCUACUUCCUUAUGUGCCGAACUUCAUGCAAUUUUAAAUGGUCUUAAGAUUGCUCAAGCUAAAGGACUUAGAAAUAUUAUCAUUGAAUCAGAUUCCACUCUAGCAGUUUGUAAGACCCGUAAUUUCGCAGUUUAUUUUGUGUAAGGAAAAUAAAUAUUGGAUAAAAGUUUUAGGGUUUUUGUUUAAGUCGUUUUGUAUGUAUCGUUGUAAUAACGGC